ACACCUACCUGGCAGGGGAGAUACCACGAUCACAAAAGUGAUUUUCCCAAAGUGAGGAUACACUGCACUCGGUGUGUGGACCCCUGGGGUUUCCCCAAAUGUGGGGAACUCAGCUGCAUAAUUUCUGGUAGUAGGAACUGCAUUUGCGUUCUCCCC